AUGCUGUGCUGCUUUCCCGGGCCUCGAGGCCGAAGCAGCAGGAGCCCGUGCAGGGAAAGCACUUGGGCGCCAGUGAGAGGAUGGAUGGCUAAGUCCCCGUGCUUCAGGCCACUCACCAGGAACUGCUUGGACUUCAGGGGCAGCACAGGGCGGGUCUCCCCAGACCCAGAGACCUGGGAAUCUGAGAUGAGUGGGAGCCCAGGGCAGAUCUCCCUGGACCUGGACUCCAGACUCUUGGGGCCACUGAGUCCAGGACAGGUCCAGUCAGGCCCGGCCACCACUGAGCACAGGGUUAGCCGGGGCAGAAACAGCACAAACUGGGGUCAGGCAGAGCUCCCAGGCACUGUCCCCAAAGAGCUGCACACAGGACACUGGGUCACUUCCAUCCUGUCAUGGCUUUAUUCUGCCGUGUCACCUCAGGGCACCUCCCAGCUGGAGCAAGCUGAGCCCACUGAGGCACAGCCCACAGGACCAGCUCCAGCCCCAGCUGAAGUCCCAUGUGCAGAGCCCGAGCCAGCUCCACCUGCAGCUUCCUGCCCAGCGCUGGGACCACAGCCAGAGUCCGUGGCAGCCCCUUCACCUGCUGCAGUGCUGGGGCACCCGGUGGUUGCACAGCGGUCGGUGUCACCUCCUGAGCUCCACCUGGGGCCAGCUCCUGGCCUCCUCCCACUGUUCCCCUCACUUACGCUGGCUCUUGUUUUGGUAUUUACAAGUGUCCUUAUUUCUUGAAUUUAUAUAAAUAAUAGAACUAGCUUUUAAUAAAACUUAAAAUUUCAGUGU
rnacentral:lncRNA from 1 species